rnacentral:tRNA from 1 species
GGCGAGGUAGCUCAGUUGGUUAGAGCGCAGGAUUCAUAACCCUGAGGUCCCGGGUUCAAAUCCCGGUUUCGCUACCA